CGCCUAACACAUGCAAGUCGAACGAAGUAGCAAUACUUAGUGGCAGACGGGUGAGUAACAUGUAGGUAUCUGCCCUUUGGCCUGGAAUAACACGAGGAAACUUGUGCUAAUACCGGAUAAGUCUUUACGGAGAAAGCUUUAUGCACCAUUGGAUGAGCCUGCACUUGAUUAGUUUGUUGGUGGGGUAAUGGCCUACCAAGACUGUGAUCAAUAGCUGAUUUGAGAGGAUGAUCAGCCACAUUGGGACUGAGACACGGCCCAAACUCCUACGGGAGGCAGCAGUGGGGAAUCUUGCACAAUGGAGGAAACUCUGAUGCAGCGAUGCCGCGUGAGUGAAGAAGGCCCUUGGGUUGUAAAGCUCUUUCGUCGGGGAAGAAAAUGACUGUACCCGAAUAAGAAGGUCCGGCUAACUUCGUGCCAGCAGCCGCGGUAAUACGAAGGGACCUAGCGUAGUUCGGAAUUACUGGGCUUAAAGAGUUCGUAGGUGGUUGAAAAAGUUGGUGGUGAAAUCCCAGAGCUUAACUCUGGAACUGCCAUCAAAACUUUUCAGCUAGAGUAUGAUAGAGGAAAGCAGAAUUUCUAGUGUAGAGGUGAAAUUCGUAGAUAUUAGAAAGAAUACCAAUUGCGAAGGCAGCUUUCUGGAUCAUUACUGACACUGAGGAACGAAAGCAUGGGUAGCGAAGAGGAUUAGAUACCCUCGUAGUCCAUGCCGUAAACGAUGUGUGUUAGACGUUGGAAAUUUAUUUUCAGUGUCGCAGCGAAAGCGAUAAACACACCGCCUGGGGAGUACGACCGC
rnacentral:rRNA from 1 species